GUACUUGCUGCGGCAGUACAUAUACUAAAAUUGGAACGAUACAGAGAAGAUUAGCAUGGCCUAUGCGCAAGAAUGACAUACAUCAAGCUAUAUCCGUACCUAAUUUCA